rnacentral:rRNA from 1 species
ACGAAGGGACCUAGCGUAGUUCGGAAUUACUGGGCUUAAAGAGUUCGUAGGUGGUUAAAAAAGUUGGUGGUGAAAUCCCAGAGCUUAACUCUGGAACUGCCAUCAAAACUUUUUAGCUAGAGUAUGAUAGAGGAAAGCAGAAUUUCUAGUGUAGAGGUGAAAUUCGUAGAUAUUAGAAAGAAUACCAAUUGCGAAGGCAGCUUUCUGGAUCAUUACUGACACUGAGGAACGAAAGCAUGGGUAGCGAAGAGGAUUAGAUACCCUCGUAGUCCAUGCCGUAAACGAUGUGUGUUAGACGUUGGAAAUUUAUUUUCAGUGUCGCAGCGAAAGCAAUAAACACACCGCCUGGGGAGUACGACCGCAAGGUUAAAACUCAAAUGAAUUGACGGGGACCCGCACAAGUAGUGGAGCAUGUGGUUUAAUUCGAAGAUACGCGCAGAACCUUACCAACACUUGACAUGUUCGUCGCGACUCUAAGAGAUUAGAGUUUUCGGUUCGGCCGGACGAAACACAGGUGCUGCAUGGCUGUCGUCAGCUCGUGUCGUGAGAUGUUGGGUUAAGUCCCGCAACGAGCGCAACCCUCACUUUUAGUUGCCAUCAUUUAGUUGGGCACUCUGGAAGAACUGCCAGUGAUAAGCUGGAGGAAGGUGGGGAUGACGUCAAGUCCUCAUGGCCCUUACGUGUUGGGCUACACACGUGCUACAAUGGCAUUUACAAUAGGAAGCAAAACGGUGACGUUAAGCAAAUCCUAAAAAAAUGCCUCAGUUCGGAUUGUACUCUGCAACUCGAGUACAUGAAGCUGGAAUUACUAGUAAUCGCGGAUCAGCGCGCCGCGGUGAAUACGUUCCCGGGUCUUGUACACACCGCCCGUCACACCAUGGGAGUUGGUUCUACCUUAAGGCAAAGCUUAAAAUCUUUGACCACGGUAUAGUCAGCGACUGGGGUGAAGUCGUAACAAGGUAACC